rnacentral:rRNA from 1 species
CGGAGCGUACCUUUCAGUGGGGGAUAACGUAGCGAAAGUUACGCUAAUACCGCAUAUUCUGUGAGCAGGAAAGCAGGGGAUCGCAAGACCUUGCGCUGAUGGAGCGGCCGAUGUCAGAUUAGCUAGUUGGUGGGGUAAAGGCUCACCAAGGCGACGAUCUGUAGCGGGUCUUAGAGGAUGAUCCGCACACUGGAACUGAGACACGGUCCAGACUCCUACGGGAGGCAGCAGUGGGGAAUUUUGGACAAUGGGCGCAAGCCUGAUCCAGCCAUGCCGCGUGAGUGAAGAAGGCCUUCGGGUUGUAAAGCUCUUUCGGCCGGGAAAAAAUCGCUUGGGUUAAUACCCUGAGUGGAUGAUGGUACCGGAAUAAGAAGCACCGGCUAACUACGUGCCAGCAGCCGCGGUAAUACGUAGGGUGCGAGCGUUAAUCGGAAUUACUGGGCGUAAAGCGUGCGCAGGCGGUUUUGUAAGACAGGCGUGAAAUCCCCGGGCUCAACCUGGGAACUGCGUUUGUGACUGCAAGGCUAGAGUAUGGCAGAGGGGGGUGGAAUUCCACGUGUAGCAGUGAAAUGCGUAGAGAUGUGGAGGAACACCAAUGGCGAAGGCAGCCCCCUGGGCCAAUACUGACGCUCAUGCACGAAAGCGUGGGGAGCAAACAGGAUUAGAUACCCUGGUAGUCCACGCCCUAAACGAUGUCAACUAGGUGUUGGGUGGGUAAAACCAUUUGGUACCGUAGCUAACGCGUGAAGUUGACCGCCUGGGGAGUACGGCCGCAAGGUUAAAACUCAAAGGAAUUGACGGGGACCCGCACAAGCGGUGGAUGAUGUGGAUUAAUUCGAUGCAACGCGAAAAACCUUACCUACCCUUGACAUGCCAGGAACUUGCCAGAGAUGGCUUGGUGCCCGAAAGGGAGCCUGGACACAGGUGCUGCAUGGCUGUCGUCAGCUCGUGUCGUGAGAUGUUGGGUUAAGUCCCGCAGCGAGCGCAACCCUUGUCGUUAAUUGCCAUCAUUUAGUUGGGCACUUUAACGAGACUGCCGGUGACAAACCGGAGGAAGGUGGGGAUGACGUCAAGUCCUCAUGGCCCUUAUGGGUAGGGCUUCACACGUCAUACAAUGGUCGGUACAAAGGGUUGCCAAGCCGCGAGGCGGAGCCAAUCCCAGAAAGCCGAUCGUAGUCCGCAUCGCAGGCUGCAACUCGCCUGCGUGAAGUCGGAAUCGCUAGUAAUCGUGGAUCAGCAUGUCACGGUGAAUACGUUCCCGGGUCUUGUACACACCGCCCGUCACACCAUGGGAGCGGGUUCCGCCAGAAGUAGGUAGCCUAACCGCAAGGAGGGCGCUUACCACGGCGGGGUUCGUGACUGGGGUGAAGUCGAACAAGGUA